rnacentral:piRNA from 1 species
UGUAAGAUGACCAGAGUUGCUUAGAUGA